ncrna:unclassified sequences IS605-orfB-I RNA
ACCAUAGACAGAUGUAGAACUGCAAGACAAGUCCGCAUUUCCCUAUAUGGUUAUCAAUUUAGAAGCGAUGCCAAUAAGUGCUAUUGUAUUGGUGUUAUAUCGAAAUAGCAUGAGGUAUGGUGGAUGAGGUUAACCGUAGAACCUUUGGUUGAAAAACCCUAAAACUAAUCUAAGAAUACGACUUCUGAAUUUUCACUAUUUUUAGUUACGGUAGC